GUCUAUGGCCAUGCCACCUUGAACAAGCCCGAUACCGUCUGAUCUCGGAAGCUAAGCAGGGUCAGGCCUGGUUAGCCUUGGAUGGAAGACCACCUAAGAAGACCAGGUGUUGUAGGCG
rnacentral:rRNA from 1 species